AAAGGAUUUCCAAAGGAUUUCUAUAUCAUCCAAAGGAUUUCUAUAUCAUACGAGGAUUAUGUGACCUGCUGCACGAAUAAACCAAACAUUCUCCAAUAAACACGAUUACAGCAAAUGAAUGUCCCAGAAAUGCAAACCGUGACGAAAAGCGGCAGUUAACAUAGCAAAACAAAAUAUGGGUUUUCCGAUUUUCAAUCGAUGACGACCGCCAUCCCUAUAAAACCAAUAUUUAUCCUCCGCCACCGCCUUGUACAUCAAACAACUA